UACGGGGGGGGCAAGCGUUGUCCGGAAUUACUGGGCGUAAAGGGCUUGUAGGUGGCCAACUAAGUCAGACGUGAAAUCCCUCAGCUUAACUGGGGAACUGCGUCUGAUACUGGAAAGCUUGAGUGCAGGAGAGGAACGCGGAAUUCCAGGUGUAGCGGUGAAAUGCGUAGAUAUCUGGAGGAACACCGGUGGCGAAGGCGGCGUUCUGGACUGCAACUGACACUGAGAGACGAAAGCCAGGGGAGCAAACGGG
rnacentral:rRNA from 1 species